AAUAGAACAAGAAUUGAGAGGUCAUUGGCUGGGGGAGUUGGCCUACCCAGAGAACGGACGAUGGUGCAAACUGAGUCAAAUUCAGCUCGUAGGACUUGGAUGAAAUCUAUAUUGAAGUCACUGGUUUGAAUUAGUGAACAGUAUCGAUGUCAAGUUUACCUGUUAGGUACAAAUUUAAGAAUAAAAUGUUGAUGACCCUUUUGCGAACAACUCUGUGCAUCUUUUGUAUCCUGAGAACACUUAUCAAAACUAAUAGAUGAAUAAUAAAUCUUUCAGAAGAAGAAAACUGAUGGACAAAGGGGUGAAAAUGUAGCAUUUAUCUCUUAUGGCCGAUGCCUGGCGUAUAUCAACUCAAUUCAUAUUUGCAUGAAUUUAUGAAAGCAAGAAUGAAAAAAUAUAUACUCAGAUGUAAAAUUAGCAAUAUUAUUUUUAAAAGGUUGUUAAAAGUUAAGUCCAGUCCGUUGGGCUGUUUCUUAAUAAUGUGAUAUUUUACUUAUAUUAAUAUAUUCAGAAACACCCAGUGGUGUUAAAAGGUCUGAAAUGGACAGGAUUUGGCCUUUUAGUGAAUGUUGCCUCCACUUUCUUUCUCUAGAAUUUAUUCUAUCAUUUUAUGACAGUCUUAAUAAAGAUUAUUGAAAGAGUCUGGG